GAUGAACGCUAGCGGCAGGCUUAAUACAUGCAAGUCGUGGGGCAGCAGGGGUAGCAAUACCCGCUGGCGACCGGCAAACGGGUGCGGAACACGUACGCAACCUUCCUUUAACUGGAGAAUAGCCCCUCGAAAGAGGGAUUAAUACUCCGUAACAUAUAGAUGUGGCAUCACAAUUAUAUUAUAGCUCCGGCGGUUAAAGAUGGGCGUGCGCCUGAUUAGAUAGUUGGCAGGGUAACGGCCUACCAAGUCUGCGAUCAGUAACUGGUGUGAGAGCACGACCAGUCACACGGGCACUGAGACACGGGCCCGACUCCUACGGGAGGCAGCAGUAAGGAAUAUUGGUCAAUGGACGCAAGUCUGAACCAGCCAUGCCGCGUGGA
rnacentral:rRNA from 1 species